GCACAAGCGGUGGAGCAUGUGGUUAAUUCGAGCAACGCGAAGACCUUACCAGGUCUUGACAUCCCGAUGCUAUUUCUAGAGAUAGAAAGUUACUUCGGUACAUCGGUGACAGGUGGUGCAUGGUUGUCGUCAGCUCGUGUCGUGAGAUGUUGGGUUAAGUCCCGCAACGAGCGCAACCCCUAUUGUUAGUUGCCAUCAUUCAGUUGGGCACUCUAGCGAGACUGCCGGUAAUAAACCGGAGGAAGGUGGGGAUGACGUCAAAUCAUCAUGCCCCUUAUGACCUGGGCUACACACGUGCUACAAUGGUUGGUACAACGAGUUGCGAGUCGGUGACGGCGAGCUAAUCUCUUAAAGCCAAUCUCAGUUCGGAUUGUAGGCUGCAACUCGCCUACAUGAAGUCGGAAUCGCUAGUAAUCGCGGAUCAGCACGCCGCGGUGAAUACGUUCCCGGGCCUU
rnacentral:rRNA from 1 species